GCCAGGCACAGUGGCACCUGCUUAUGGUCCCAGCUACUCCCGAGGCUGAAGUGGGAGGAUUGCUCGAGCCCAGGAGUUCUGGGCUGUAGUGCGCUAUGCCGAUCGGGUGUCCGCUCUAAGUUCGGCAUCAAUAUGGUGACCUCCCAAUAGCAGAGGACCCCCAGGUUGCCUAAGGAGUGGUGAACAGCCCAGGUUGGAAAUGGAGCAGGUCAAAACUCCCAUGCUGAUCAGUAGUGGGAUCACGCCUUUGAAUAGCCACUGCACUCCAGCCUGGGCAACAUAGCAAGACCCUGUCUCU
rnacentral:SRP_RNA from 1 species